CUUCGGAAUCUUGAGAGCGGCGCACGGGUGCGGAACACGUGUGCAACCUGCCUUUAUCAGGGGAAUAGCCUUUCGAAAGGAAGAUUAAUGCCCCAUAAUAUAUUUUCUGGCAUCAGAAGAUAUUGAAAACUCCGGUGGAUAAAGAUGGGCACGCGCAGGAUUAGAUAGUUGGUAGGGUAACGGCCUACCAAGUCAACGAUCCUUAGGGGGCCUGAGAGGGUGAUCCCCCACACUGGUACUGAGACACGGACCAGACUCCUACGGGAGGCAGCAGUGAGGAAUAUUGGACAAUGGGUGAGAGCCUGAUCCAGCCAUCCCGCGUGAAGGACGACGGCCCUAUGGGUUGUAAACUUCUUUUGUACAGGGAUAAACCUUUCCACGUGUGGAAAGCUGAAGGUACUGUACGAAUAAGCACCGGCUAACUCCGUGCCAGCAGCCGCGGUAAUACGGAGGGUGCAAGCGUUAUCCGGAUUUAUUGGGUUUAAAGGGUCCGU
rnacentral:rRNA from 1 species